rnacentral:tRNA from 1 species
GGGCCUGUGGCUCAGCGGAAGAGCCUCUGCGAUCCAUGCAGAAGCGCCCAGGUUCAAUUCCCGGCACCUCCA